ensembl:lncRNA
GCAUUUCCAAUUAAACUGUUUCUUUGGAGAGCUGUAGAAUACAUUCUUAAAUGUAUCUGAAACAAUUUGACAUUUACUUUCUUAUUAAAAUUUGGAUUAUGAUGUUAAGAAGGAGUAUUCAAGGAGAAGGGAAUCAGAAGUUUUUAAAAGGGGGUGAAGGAUUGUUUCCACCCAGCUCACGUUCAGUAUGAGGAACCUUCAUUUGUUUCCUCUGAAGUCAAAUGCUGUCUCCACGUAAAAUGAUUGUUCUUGCCGGGGUUAAUGCAAGCUGCUGUGAAAUGGGCAUCAUGGCACAACCUGAGAGAGGAUCAAAACAGGAGGUAGGAAGGAAACGGAGGAAUAGGAAUCGCUCAAAGGAAGCCGUGGUAGUCAGUGAAUCAGUGGAUGAAUGACUGCAUCCAUGGAUGCCCUUAGCACCCUCUGCAGCAUCCCUGUGACUCCUCCAUCACUGAGCAAGCUGUGCCAGUAUGAAGAAGAGCUUGGAACUACCAGCACAGGAGGAAGUCAUCUGCUGAAAGAGUACAGGACAUCAGGGAAAGCUAGAGAGGGCUCACUCUGCCAAACAGGGCUCUUUUAAGAAAAAACCCAGACAGGAUAAACCAUCAACAUUUCCUUGUUAUCUAGAGUGGCAAUCACUGGGAAACCCAUGAGACCAAGCUGAACAGGGAUUGCCUGUCAGCCCAUGUAUUUCAAAUGGAUUCUUAAGAGGGAUCUGAACACUGUCUGUUACUCUGAAGUAAGAGAUGAACAGAAUUUCAUGUAAGGCCAUAUGAGUAAAAGAUUUCACUUUUACUUAAGUGGUUUUUUUCUCCUCAUUCUGAUAGAUAAGAGAAUGAAUCACUGGAAUUUUUGUACUUUCCAUUUCUAAACAAUGGGAAGGGAGAGUUGGUUAUUUUUAGUAGGAUCAACGCUUGUAGUGGUUUCACUCUGCAUAUUCUCCUUCUGCAAAAUCAGCUGCUCUUUGCCAGAGGUCAGAAAGCACAGCUGUGUUACCUAGAAGAGUACAGGCCCACUUCUGAGAACUACAGGACCUUCUGUGCAAGCCACCACUCAGCCUACUGGGACCACAGGGACAGCCUACUCCUGGAGAUGUACUUUUUCUGCUACUUCCCAGCAAAUAAUUAAAUCUGAUGCUCAGACCACAUCUACAGUACAAAACAAGAACUCCACACAUCUCUGAAUUUUCAAAAAAUCUCUCAGCUUGGGCUUUGAUUUUACCACCAGUGCCACUGACUUGAGUGAAAACCCAACAUUUGGCCUGCAGAAUAUCAUUGUGGUUGGUAUAAAUUUUCCUAAUAACAUGUUUCAGUGCUUAAGCAGUAUGAAUUGCCUGCAUUUUUUAUGAUUUUGACAACGUGGCAGAGGAGUGUUUUUACGUCAUAGUUUAAAUGAAAACUUUACCAAAAUACUGGCUACCAGCAUCCAAGCUUGCUCAAGGUAUGAUCCAAGACUGAGGUAAAGGAAAACCUGCUGGCUGAUUGCUGUGGCUUUAAAUCAGUCUUUUGCUCUUUCUUCCUCCUCUGUUCAUUGACAACACUAAGUAAAAUCUAAAGAAAUUAAAAUAAAAUAAAAAUAAAAUAAAAUAAAUC